rnacentral:rRNA from 1 species
AUGUUCAGCGCCACCCACUUCUCCAGCAUGUCGCGGAGCGAGCUGCGCCAACGUACGCAGGAGAGGGCCAGCUGUGUUGUCGCGCGCAGGCCUGGGCGAGCACCCGCAAUGAGCUGUGCUGGCACGCGCAAGCAUCCGCAAGGCGAGGGCAAGCACCCACAGAGCGCAAGCAUCCGCCACGCGAGCGCGAGCUGCGCCGGCGCGUGCAGACAUGGACGAGCGCCGGCGGAGAGCUGCAGUGACGAGGGUGAGUUGAAGCGGCGCGCGCAGCCAUGGGCGAGCACCGGCGGCGACCUGCAGUUACUCGCUCAGGCGUGGGAAGCUAGGGCGGCGAGUUAG